AUGAACGCUGGCGGCGUGCUUAACACAUGCAAGUCGAACGGUGAAGCAGAGCUUGCUCUGUGGAUCAGUGGCGAACGGGUGAGUAACACGUGAGCAACCUGCCCCUGACUCUGGGAUAAGCGCUGGAAACGGCGUCUAAUACUGGAUAUGAGCUGCGACCGCAUGGUCAGCGGUUGGAAAGAUUUUUCGGUCUGGGAUGGGCUCACGGCCUUUCAGCUUGUUGGUGAGGUAAUGGCUCACCAAGGCGUCGACGGGUAGCCGGCCUGAGAGGGUGACCGGCCACACUGGGACUGAGACACGGCCCAGACUCCUACGGGAGGCAGCAGUGGGGAAUAUUGCACAAUGGGCGAAAGCCUGAUGCAGCAACGCCGCGUGAGGGAUGACGGCCUUCGGGUUGUAAACCUCUUUUAGCAGGGAAGAAGCGAAAGUGACGGUACCUGCAGAAAAAGCGCCGGCUAACUACGUG
rnacentral:rRNA from 1 species